rnacentral:rRNA from 1 species
UACGUAGGGCGCAAGCGUUUGUCCGGAAUUAUUGGGCGUAAAGAGCUCGUAGGCGGCUUGUCACGUCGGGUGUGAAAGCCCGGGGCUUAACCCCGGGUCUGCAUUCGAUACGGGCAGGCUAGAGUUCGGUAGGGGAGACUGGAAUUCCUGGUGUAGCGGUGAAAUGCGCAGAUAUCAGGAGGAACACCGGUGGCGAAGGCGGGUCUCUGGGCCGAUACUGACGCUGAGGAGCGAAAGCGUGGGGAGCGAACAGG